GACGAACGCUGGCGGCGUGCUUAACACAUGCAAGUCGAACGGAAAGGCCCUGCUUUUGUGGGGUGCUCGAGUGGCGAACGGGUGAGUAACACGUGAGUAACCUGCCCUUGACUUUGGGAUAACUUCAGGAAACUGGGGCUAAUACCGGAUAGGAUCUCCUGCUGCAUGGUGGGGGUUGGAAAGUUUCGGCGGUUGGGGAUGGACUCGCGGCUUAUCAGCUUGUUGGUGGGGUAGUGGCUUACCAAGGCUUUGACGGGUAGCCGGCCUGAGAGGGUGACCGGAAAAAUUGGGACUGAGAUACGGACCAGACUCCUACGGGAGGCAGCAGUGGGGAAUAUUGCACAAUGGGCGGAAGCCUGAUGCAGCAACGCCGCGUGCGGGAUGACGGCCUUCGGGUUGUAAACCGCUUUCGCCUGUGACGAAGCGUGAGUGACGGUAAUGGGUAAAGAAGCACCGGCUAACUACGUG
rnacentral:rRNA from 1 species